CAACUGGGCAGAGGGAUCCUCCUCCUGCUGCCAUCACUGCAGGGGAAAAAAGAAAAUCAUUUCCCCUGGGAGAUAACAGAGUAAGAGCUUUAACUGAACAGCAGCUCUGGGAAAACUGCUCUUACAGGCUCACUCAAGCAGAAUGGUCCUGCAGCUCUGCAUUGGCUGGCACCAGCAGCCACCUGGUUGCACCUGGAGAUGUUGCUGCCUACACCCUCUCCUAAUGCCAGAGACAAGCCCCCACUGCUGCAAGAGGAUGACAGCCUGAAUGUAUUUAACUCUUAAAGAGAGAAAGAGGAGGAGUGCAGCAUGACUCUCAAGCACAGGUGUAAGCAGAGCUCUCCUCUGCAGAGAUGAAAUACCCAGAGCAGACAUAGACCGGUUCCUGAAGGAGAGCAGGAGUGCAUUGCCUGAAGGCUGAACUGAAUUGUAACAUGGUGUGAUCUUGCCAAGAUGGCUAGGUAAAGCAUCCCAUGCAGCACCCUAAUUUCUUACACUUUUAUCACUACGAAAUCAUAUUGUUGAAGCUGAUGGGCACUGCCAUCCCAGGUGGCUUGCAUCUUGUAAUGUUUUUUUAUUUUACUUUGCUGGAACAGCAGGUCACAAGAACUUGGUCCAAGGCAAUUUCAUGCUUCUUAAGUAGGGCCAAACUCUGUUGGAUUUGUAGUGCUCCAAGCUCAAAGUAUCCACAGUGAAGGCUUCUGCCCUCUAAUCUUUUUGCGCUCAAAGCAUUUCUUAUCUGUCUUUGACCUCUGAUCCCCUUGGUAUCUCUGGCUUUUGCAGGCAGCUAGUUGCCCUCCAGUGUGAAACCUUUCCUGUCUCUCUCACAGAUGGCAGGGAGGCAGUGGAUAUAAAGUCUUGCACUCCACAGCAAGCAUGGCUGCUCCCCUGCCCCACUGCAUCCAUUGCCCCACAAGUACCCUCUUGGGUACCUUCAUUGGAAACAGGAAGAGCAUUCAUAUAACAGCACUUCCCAACUCUUCCACCUGGAUCUCCUUUCAAUAAAAACCUUGUAAGUCUCCAAGUACGUUAUGAAGCAGUCUGAAUAUUAUUAUUUCCUCCAUACAGCUGGGGAAACUAUAGCUCAGAUGCUUGCUAAAAGU